UUGCUGCUGAUUCGGUUACUGCCGCAGCGUUUCUCAACUGCCCUAUUUAGAUCGGGUUGCUUGCAGCUCGAGGUGAACGGCUAGCCACUACUACUGCAUUUCGGCAGCGCACGAGUCAAGGAACCGCCGCCGCUUCGAAUUUCGCGUUGUUUCAACACCAGAUUGAUCUAUGAGAGACUGGGUGGAAGGUUUGGAUCCAUUCCAUGACUCAAACUGGACCCAUCAAGGUCAGGUUCUAAAGUGGAUGAGUGGAAAAGGUGCAGAAAACUCUACAUAAAGUCAACAUUCGACAUUACAGAAAUUGAAAUAGCUGUCACACUGGCUGGCAGCCUGGACAAAAUGAAGAUGAACUGAAGGUGGCAGUUUAACUUGCCGAAACUAGUUUUCCUCAACAAUGGUAAAGACGCACAAGAGCAAUUUAACAAGCCUAUUAUAUCAUGCUAACUUCUUCAGUGUUAUAACCAUAGCAAUAAAAUGGAUGAAGGGGAUUCCCCCCCUCCCGAGGCCUGAGGCUAAAGACUAUCUUUAACUUGCCAACAGCCAAAAUGUGAACAGUUGGAGCAAAUUUCAGAAUUUUCAACAUUUCCUAUCAGUUCAAUGUAAGCUAAACUGUCAACCAACAGAAGAUACAGUUGCCUAUUUAGGAAAUUGGUAAUAACUGCCCACACUCUUGUGUUUCAACUAUUGUUAACAUUUGUUUCUGGCUCUUACUGUGAUUUGCACUCAUUACCUCUAACACCGUUUCUCUGCAUGUUUUACUGAAUAAAAUGAUAUCGUGAUGCUUUUAUGGCAUAUACAUAUUGCCAACGAGUAUCACAAUUUAAUACGAGUGUAAGAUAAAAUGAAAAUAACUUACCUCCUGAAAGUGAAAUUCUUAGUACCGC